rnacentral:rRNA from 1 species
CCGACUCCUACGGGAGGCAGCAGUAAGGAAUAUUGGUCAAUGGACGCAAGUCUGAACCAGCCAUGCCGCGUGGAGGAUGAAGGUCCUCUGGAUUGGUAAACUUCUUUAUUUGGGAAGAAACCCACGAUUUCUAUUGUGGUUGACGGUACCAGAUGAAUAAGCACCGGCUAACUCCGUGCCAGCAGCCGCGGUAAUACGGAGGGUGCAAGCGUUAUCCGGAUUCACUGGGUUUAAAGGGUGCGUAGGCGGGUUGGUAAGUCCGUGGUGAAAUCUCCAAGCUUAACUUGGAAACUGCCGUGGAUACUAUCAAUCUUGAAUAUAGUGGAGGUGAGCGGAAUAUGUCAUGUAGCGGUGAAAUGCUUAAUAUGACAUAGAACACCCAUUGCGAAGGCAGUCGCUACACUAUUAUUGACGCUGAGGCACGAAAGCGU